ACAGUUUAGUGAGCUAGGUCCAUUCUCAUCAUGUCCAGAAAUUGGAGACAUUCCACAUGUAAAUAAGUACACCAACAAAUAAAUUAGUAGUCCAUAACAAAAGACUACUAAGCGCACCAUGUUCUAUUUGAACGAAAAUAUAAAAAGAUGGGUGACGCAGUUUCCUGUGCAUAAUAAAUGCUGCAGAAGCUAGUAGUGGGUUGGUGACAUACCAAAAUAGUUGGUGUCGGUAUUUAAUACCCGGCAACCUACCGAGAGGGUGCCCAAGGUAGUGAGUCCUAGUAGGAUUACAGGGGAAUCCUAGUAGGAGUUCAUCUUCUUCCUUCCUUGCGGGUACUGGGGAUCUAUCCCCGACAAGCUCCCGAGCGCUUCAUAGUCGAAUGCAGCAGUCUUUGAGUAGUUUUAAGAUUCUCGCCAAGUAGUUUCGAUGCUCUUCAAGUAGUUUAUUUGGAUGAAUCUUUAAAGUUUCUCAAAGUUGUCAUGAGACUAUUUGAACGGAAAUAUAAAAGAUGGGUGAUGCAGUUUCCUUUGCGUCUAGGUGUAUAAAUGCUGCAAAAGCUAGUAGUGGGUUGGUGACAUACCAAAAUAUAGUUGGCAAAGGGGAAUAUUUACGACUUUUUGAUGUUCCUACGCAUUGGUAGCUGGAGAAGAGCGCCAAACGGGAUUGGGAGCCACGUUAUAAAAAGAUGAUAUCACAUUCUAUUGGUGCGUAGGUCCUGUUGUUUAUUUUUUUUGCCGAAAGUGUACCUCCGUAUGUAAAAUGAUGCUUUCACAUUCUUUCUUUCUGCAACCUGUCGGAGAGAAAAGCGCACGUCAGCACCAUGUGAGCGGGCCCCACCAUGUGCCACCAGCACACACCGAAAGGAAGGCCAUGUUUAGUUACUCCCAACUCCCAACUUUGACACUAUGCAAAAAGAAGAUUCCCCAUCACAUCAAACUUGCGGUACAUGCAUGGAGUACUAAAUGUAGAUGAAAUUAAAAACUAAUUGCACAGUUUUGUUGUACUUUGCGAGACGAAUCUUUUGAGCCUAAUUAGUCAAUAUUUGGACAAUAAUUCACAAAUACAAACGAAACGCUACAGUGUGCUACAGUGCUGUAACAGUAAUUUGGCACCCCAAAUUCGCCAAACUAAACACGGCCGAAGGUGAUGUGCAGGAGCAAUACUUUUGCCUUUAAAUGCGGUAGCCGCAUGGGCCGCAUGAGCACACACACCGGCGACAAGGAGAGGGCGGCUGAAUCCAGACCAGCUACACCUAUACCCAUACCGUACAACCUUACUCACUGCUAGCUCUUGCCCAGGGACUAAUCCAUGGAGAUCGUGACAGGGGCAAUUCCAUUGAUCUCCAUACACCACUGCUGCUCAUAGCUCACACAUACACAUACACAGUUGGAUUUAAGGGGCUAGGAAAGACAUGUCUUGCUAAAGCAGUGUAUGGAAAACAUAAAGCACAGUUCGAUUGAUGGGCUUUUGUUGCGGUGCCUAACAAUCCUGACCUGAAGAAAUUAUUUAAGGACAUGCUCUCUCAACUUUGCAAGACAAAUACUGCAACCAUCAUUGAAGAAACAUUGAAUGAGUCACAGCUCACAAAUGAACUCAGAGAAUUCCUUCAGAAUAAGAGGUAUCAAAGCAUCGCGGACAAUAAGAAUCAACUUGCGUGCAUUAAGGAUUUUUUUCCCAAAAUUAAUUUACACCCUCCUAUUUUACAAUAUUAGUCGUAACAAGGUGCUAGUAAAUCUAAAAAAAAAGUUCAAUGAGAAAUGGUCCGAGCAAAGCCAGAAAUUUACUUCCUAUCUAUAUUAUUACCCUUGUAAUUAACACUGCUUUUGUGUUAACGUAUUGCAUGUGUACCUCAUUGUUGUUGAUGACAUAUGGGAUAUCACAAUCUGGGAAAAGAUUAGUUGAGCUUUGCCUGAUAAUACUUUUAGAUACAGAAUUAUCACAGCUACCCGUAACAAUGCUGUUGCUGAACAAGUUGGUAUUGUCCACGAGCUGAAACCCCUUUGUCUUUGUGACUUCAGAAGAUUAUUCUAUCCAAGACUGUUUGGCAAUGACGAUAAUGGCAUAUGUCUUACUGCAGACCUGAUUAUAUUAUAUUAAAAAGUAUUAAAAAAUGUGCUAGUGUACCAUUGGCUAUCAUAUCGAUAGCUACUUUGUUGGCUUGUAUAAAGGAAGAAAUAAGUGGGAAAUGUAUAAGGUAUAUAGAUCUGUUACAAGGUUUGAGAAUGAUUUUGUCACUUAGCUAUCAUAAUCUGCCACCCCAUCUAAAGUUUUGCUUAUUACAUUUAAGUGUGUUGCUGGGAGAUUAUGAUAUUGAUAAAGAUCGUUUGGUACGGUUGUGGAUAGCUGAAGGUUUUAUCCGAUGUGAAAUAUCAGGGGAAAGCCUACUUGAUCUUGGAGAGAGUUACUAUUACGAGCUAAAAACAUAUUUAUGAUCCAACUUGUGUAUAAAAGGUGGGACAAUGAAAUGGUAGAAUAUUGCCAUGCAAAUGAUAUGGUACUUGAUUUCAUCGCUCCAAGUCAAGGGAAGAAGACUUUGUUGCCGUUUUUAAUUAUGUAUAUCAAACAUAUUCAUCAAAAAAGAGGUUAUCCUUUCAAAAUAGCAUGGUAGAUUAUGCUAGGCAUCUAACUUUUGUGAAUACGCAACAAGUGAAGUCAGUUGCUGUCUUUCCAUCUACUGUUAAUCUCAUGCCUGCCCUUUUGAGCUCGAGAGUUUUUCGUGAUGUGAUGUGGAUGUCGUUAUCUUUUUUUUUCCGAAAGUGUAGCUUCAUCGUGGAUUAUUACAAAUGUGACAACUUGCAUAUCCGGGAGCUUUUGAGCUUUAGAGUUUUACAUGUGUACUGGAUUUACAAAAUUGCCACGUUUCACAACGUUACAAUCUUAUGGAUCUAGAAAAUUUAAAAUUUAAUUCACAUGAGGUACGUGGGACUAAGACGCACACAUAUUGCUCAACUCCCUGAAGAAACAGGAAACCUACUUCUUCUCCAAACACUAGAUGUAAUAGGCAAUGGAGGUGCCAGCGAGCAGGAGGCGGAGGAAGCGGAGGCUGCGCUGAGGAAUGAAAUCGCAAUGCAUCACAAUCAUCACAAUGCAAGGAAUUGAAAAUGCGAUGGCAUGGUAUUACGCUCCAGUGUUGCCUGGACCCACAUUGACAAAGAAAAGGAAUGAAAAAUUCUCUCCGAUGUCCCAUCCCUUUAUCUUGUCCACCGACGGAAGAAAAAUGGAGAAACGAGAUGGUGUGGCCACCGAAAGGGAGGUGCUGUGCAGGAGCAAUACUUUUGCCUUUUGCUGUAGCCGCAUUGGGCCAGUACAGAAUCGAUAAGCCUCGGGAGAUAGAAGAGGAGAGGAGGUGGAAGAGGAUGGAGGAAAUUAAAUAAAAUAUUUUUUGUAUGUGGGUCCCACAAAAGUUUGUAAAAAUAUUUCCGCUUGCGACCAAUCUGGCCCAAUGCGACCAAUCCAGCGGACGGAGCGCAUGCAUGAGGAAUAGUUUGGCGCUAGACACGGUGCAUAGAAUCAGGGAUCCAAUGCUCUUUCUACUACCUCUCUCAUCUAUUAUUGCCUCUACCUUUCCCCCGCAUCUGCAUCCCAUCGACUGGGAAAAGAUUAGUUGUGCUUUGCCUGAUAAUACUUUUAGAUACAGAAUUAUCACAACUACCCGUAACAAUGCUGUUGCUGAACAAGUUGGUAUUGUUUACGAGCUGAAACCCCUUUGUCUUCGUGACUCCAGAAGAUUAUUCUAUCCAAGACUGUUUGGCAAUGACGAUAAUGGCAUAUGUCUUACUGCAGACCUGAUUAUAUUAUAUCAAAAGAUACUAAAAAAUGCGCCGGUGUACCAUUGCCUAUCAUAUCGAUAGCUACUUUGUUGGUUAGUAAAGGAAGAAAAUAAGUGGGAAAUGUAUAAGGUAGAUAGAUCUGUUACUGUUGAACUGGAGAAUGGUCUAGAUUUAUAAGAUUUGAGAAUGAUUUUGUCACUUAGCUAUCAUAAUCUGCCACCCCAUUUAAAGUUUUGCUUAUUACAUUCAAGUAUGUUUCCGAGAGAUUAUGAUAUCGAUAAAGAUCGUUUGGUACGGUUGUGGAUAGCUGAAGGUUUUAUCCAAUGUGAAAUAUCAAGGGAAAGCCUAUUUGAUCUUGGAGAGAGUUACUAUUACGAGCUAAAAAACAAAUUUAUGAUCCAGCCUGUGUAUAAAAGGUGGAACAAUGAAAUGAUAGAAUAUUGCCAUGUAAAUGAUACGGUUCUUGAUCUUAUCUGCUCCAAGUCAAGGGAAGAAGACUUUGCUGCCAUUUUUAAAUGAUGUAUAUCAAACAUAUUUAUCAGAAAAGAGGUUAUCCUUUCAAAAUAGCAUGGUAGAUCAUGCUAAGCAUCUAAGUUCUAUGAAUAUGCAAUAAGUGAGGUCAGUUGCUGUCUUUCCAUCUGCUGUUAAUCUCAUGCCUGCUCUUUUGAGCUUUAGAGUUUUUCAUGUACUGGAUUUACAAGAUUGCCACCUUUCACAACGUUACAUUCUUAAGUAUCUUGGAAAUUUAAUUCAUUCACUUGAGGUACCUGGGACUAAGCUAAGCCGCAUACAUACCUACAACUUCCUUGAACACUAGAUGUAACAGGCAAUGGAGGUGCCAGUGAGCAGGAGGACUAUAAAUAUUCAUAUUAUAGAAAUAAUAUAAUGUGUGAUCGUGGCAGAUGGAGCGGAAUCUCGACUGCCUUAUUAAUCGAUUGGCACAUCUAUCUAAGACAGUGCCUGCUGCCUCCAUCCAUCCAUCCGCGGCCUUCUCUGGCUGCCGCUGGCUUCCGCGGUUUCCAUGACUCAGCUCGGCAGCCUGAUUAAUGUGCAUUUGACACGGGAGAACUUCCUUUUGUAGAAAGCAUGUGCUCCAUGCAUCAAGAAGUUCAUUUUUAGGACCUUUAGAUUGUCGACACAGCUGAAAGUUCACUACACAAGGGGUGAAGUAUCCAAGCAGGCCUGUUCGCUUCAGCUUAUUCAGCUGGCUUAUCAGCCACCAAACAGUGUUUUUCUCUCACAACAAAUCAGCCGUUUCAGCUUUUCAGUCGGCUUAUAAGCUGAAGCGAACAGGCCAUAGAUUCUAAAGCCAAAAGUUAAAUAGAACAUAGUUUAGUGAGCUAGGUCCAUUCUCAUCAUGUCCAGAAAUUGGAGAGACAUUCCACAUGUAAAUAAGUACACCAACAAAUAAAUUAGUAGUUCAUAACAAAAGACUACUAAGCGCACCAUGUUCUAUUUGAACGAAAAUAUAAAAAGAUGGGUGAUGCAGUUUCCUGUGCAUAAUAAAUGCUGCAGAAGCUAGUAGUGGGUUGGUGACAUACCAAAAUAGUUGGUGUCGGUAUUUAAUACCCGGCAACCUACCGAGAGGGUGCCCAAGG
rnacentral:lncRNA from 1 species